UGACACUAUUAAAGGUUGAUUGAGGAAUGCUGGAGUGAAAAUCCUGCAGACAGGCCUGAUUUUAGUGAAAUCAUCGAUCGGUUGUCUUCUAUCCAAAAUGAAAUAGCUCAAAGGAACCGGUGGAAGGUGAGACCUCUUAGAUGUUUCCUGAGCUUCGUGGGAAUGUGGAAGAAAGAUCGCAAUGAAGGCAGCACCACCCGUUCAUCACGUUUGUCACGAUCCAACUUUUAAGCACCUGUCCGAGCUGUUGAUUUCGUUCGGAGGAUCAUAUUCAUGAUUGCUAGAAAAUCAACUUGUAUAUCGUAUCUUUGUGUUCUAAACUUCUGAAAAGGAAUGGUUUUGCGGCUGGUUGAUUUUCUUCUGGUGGUCAUAGCUAUUGUACAUCUGACAUUUA